ACUAUUCGAAGACGUAACAAACUCUGGUUAUGAAUACCUUCAGUGACUGUCCUACUCGAACUUUCUCUAUUGUGUUGCAGUUUCCGGCAAAAUUAAUAAGUUUUAACCUACAAUUGCCUCUAAAUUGAUUUAAUAGAUGAUGAUUUUCCGUUUUAAUUUGAAUUAAUGACUUAUUUUAGGAAAAUGUGAUUUCCAAAAUGAUAUCUGUGCAAUUUGCAAUAGUUUCUUUUUGUGUCACUCAACUCGAGGCUGCAGCCACGAAAGAACAUCGUCUUCAAUUCGUAUUUUAUACGAAUUUUUGUUUCUCAAUUUACAUAUAGUGACACUGAAAACCUUUCCCUAUCCGUCCCUCUCUAUUAUAAUCACCUUUCACGUGACUAAAAUAUAUGUUUUCAAUAAAGGUAAGAUGCCUUACGGAGGACUGAAUAUGAAGGAGUUAUUAAACCAUUUGAAAAAAGGCCAGCGUCUGCAGCGUCCAAUCACAUGCAAGGAAGAAAUUUCGCAAAUUAACUGAUUACGUCAUCACUGCCGACAGCCAAUGGAUUUUCAGCAAAGUAACGUAUAAGUAUAGGAACAUAUUGAACUGUAUAUAGAGAUCUAAUAGUCAUCAGAGGCCGACCAGCAUCGACAACAGCAUGGAAAGUCAGAAAGCCAUCAUAKCUGCCUUUGUUCUUCUCGUUUGCCUUGGGGUUUUGAUGAGUGACAUUGAAGGAUUGAAUGGAGUAUUACUUCCUCGUCGUGGCCGCAAGUCAUGUCAUCGUCGACGAACAGCACGUAAAAGAGGGUGCCAUCKACCAAAACGCCACCACUUUGCGAUUAGGUUUGAUGUGAAGCUCUGAAUUCCACUUCUAUAUCCAAUGUAAAAGCUACAAGAAAGAUUUAAUCAUUUUUGUUAUUUUGCCUUAUCUUAUGUAGUAAUAUUUUUCUACCAUUGUAACAGAAACUUUGAUCACUGGAGUCUUAUCAAAAGAAAAAAUGUCAAUAAAGAGCUUUUCAAGCAUA